UACGGAGGAUGCAAGCGUUAUCCGGAUUUAUUGGGUUUAAAGGGUGCGUAGGCGGAUUAGUAAGUCAGUGGUGAAAUACUGCAGCUUAACUGUAGCACUGCCAUUGAUACUGCUAGUCUUGAGUACGAUUGAAGUAGGCGGAAUGUGUAAUGUAGCGGUGAAAUGCUUAGAUAUUACACAGAACACCGAUUGCGUAGGCAGCUUACUAAGUCGUAACUGACGCUGAGGCACGAAAGCGUGGGGAUCGAACAGG
rnacentral:rRNA from 1 species